rnacentral:SRP_RNA from 1 species
GGUUAGGCGCUGCGCUAUUGGCGUUCGCCCAACCCCGUCAGGACCGGAAGGUAGCAGCGGUAAGUGAAUUGCUAAUGAGCCGCAGAACGCUUAACCUCG